rnacentral:rRNA from 1 species
CCUACGGGAGGCAACAGUAGGGAAUCUUCGGCAAUGGGGGCAACCCUGACCGAGCAACGCCGCGUGAGUGAAGAAGGUUUUCGGAUCGUAAAGCUCUGUUGUAAGUCAAGAACGGGUGUGAGAGUGGAAAGUUCACACUAUGACGGUAGCUUACCAGAAAGGGACGGCUAACUACGUGCCAGCAGCCGCGGUAAUACGUAGGUCCCGAGCGUUGUCCGGAUUUAUUGGGCGUAAAGCGAGCGCAGGCGGUUUGAUAAGUCUGAAGUUAAAGGCUGUGGCUCAACCAUAGUUCGCUUUGGAAACUGUCAAACUUGAGUGCAGAAGGGGAGAGUGGAAUUCCAUGUGUAGCGGUGAAAUGCGUAGAUAUAUGGAGGAACACCGGUGGCGAAAGCGGCUCUCUGGUCUGUAACUGACGCUGAGGCUCGAAAGCGUGGGGAGCGAACAGGAUUAGAUACCCUGGUAGUCCACGCCGUAAACGAUGAGUGCUAGGUGUUGGAUCCUUUCCGGGAUUCAGUGCCGCAGCUAACGCAUUAAGCACUCCGCCUGGGGAGUACGACCGCAAGGUUGAAACUCAAAGAGUAGUCGGCGUGNGAGAGCGACGACGACGACGAGGAGGAGGAGG